rnacentral:rRNA from 1 species
ACGCUCGACACCUACGGGAAGCAGCAGUCGGGAAUAUUGCGCAAUGGAGGAAACUCUGACGCAGUGACGCCGCGUAUAGGAAGAAGGUUUUCGGAUUGUAAACUAUUGUCGUUAGGGAAGAAAAAGGACAGUACCUAAGGAGGAAGCUCCGGCUAACUACGUGCCUGCAGCCGCGGUAAUCUGAGCGGGCUGGCAAGGC